rnacentral:rRNA from 1 species
GGAGGAAGAAGGUCUUCGGAUUGUAAACUCCUGUUGUUGAGGAAGAUAAUGACGGUACUCAACAAGGAAGUGACGGCUAACUACGUGCCAGCAGCCGCGGUAAAACGUAGGUCACAAGCGUUGUCCGGAAUUACUGGGUGUAAAGGGAGCGCAGGCGGGCGAUCAAGUUGGAAGUGAAAUCCAUGGGCUCCACCCAUGAACUGCUUUCAAAACUGGUCGUCUUGAGUAGUGCAGAGGUAGGCGGAAUUCCCGGUGUAGCGGUGGAAUGCGUAGAU